GACUUACAGUUGAUCUCUGAACUUGAAGUAAGUUCAUGGGGGAAAUGGUCUAUUCGCUGAUGCU